rnacentral:rRNA from 1 species
GGGAGUACGUCGCAAGAUUAAACUCAAAGGAAUUGACGGGACCCGCACAGCGGUGAUGAUGUGGAUUAAUUCGAUGCAACGCGAAGAACCUUACCUACCCUUGACAUGUCCGGAACUUGCCAGAGAUGGCUUGGUGCCCGAAAGGGAACCGGAACACAGGUGCUGCAUGGCUGUCGUCAGCUCGUGUCGUGAGAUGUUGGGUUAAGUCCCGCAACGAGCGCAACCCUUAUCAUUAGUUGCUACGCAAGGGCACUCUAAUGAGACUGCCGGUGACAAACCGGAGGAAGGUGGGGAUGACGUCAAGUCCUCAUGGCCCUUAUGGGUAGGGCUUCACACGCCAUACAAUGGUCGGUACAGAGGGUUGCCAAGCCGCGAGGUGGAGCCAAUCCCACAAAGCCGAUCGUAGUCCGGAUUGUUCUCUGCAACACGAGAGCAUGAAGUCGGAAUCGCUAGUAAUCGCAGGUCAGCAUACUGCGGUGAAUACGUUCCCGGGUCUUGUACACACCGCCCGUCACACCAUGGGAGUGGGUUGCUCCAGAAGUAGGUAGCCUAACCGCAAGGAGGGCGCUUACCACGGAGUGAUUCAUGACUGGGGUGAGUCGUAACAAGGUAACCGUA